ACGUAAGAGACAAGACUAGAAUCCGUGACAACACACAAACGAUUUAUCUACUGAGCUUAUGUAAAUAAAAAACAAAAGGCUCAUUGAGGUUCAAAAUGGGAAACAAAUCAAGUAAAGAGAAAAGCAAACGUACCAUACAUACAGGUCAGCAACGUUUCAAAAUGGGAAACAAAUCAAGUAAAGAGAAAAGCAAACGUACCAUACAUACAGAUGAUGCUGUUAAGGGCGUGACAGAUGCCAAGUUCAAAAAGGAGAUAUUCAUGUCUUCUUUUAGUAACGAAAAAAAGAUUUCAAGAUGUAUUUCUUAUGUUCUUACAAGCUCCAGUGCCAGUGAUUUAGAUAGCAAUCUAGGUAAGUGACUUCAAACUGUGCAUCCCAUAAUUCUAAUUCAUCGCAAUUUAGAGUGAGAGAAACAUGGAAGACUACUGUUAAGACGGAUGUCGAUUCAGUAGCAAGCCUUAUGGGUAAACGACCAAUGACAAUGGCUAAUAAGAUCACGCUUACUAGGAUUCCAUGAAUCUCUUCAGAAGUGUUGCAAUCUAUGAGGGUUGGGGGAAACAGAGGAUAUAAAACUCAUCGAUUUCUAUUUCAUACUGUUGACGAGGGUGUCAUAAGGCCUGCACAACGGACGCCCACCUUUACUUUCCCAUCUUAUAUUUAUAUCAGGUAUUCAUUUAGAUUUGGGCUUGCUGAAAAUCUUUAUUAGGAUUUGCACUUGAGGCCGCCACCACGCCCCUA
rnacentral:sRNA from 1 species